CCCGCAACGAGCGCAACCCUUGUCUUCUGUUGCCAUCGGGUUAUGCCGGGCACUCUGAAGAGACUGCCGGUGACAAACCGGAGGAAGGUGGGGAUGACGUCAAGUCAGCAUGGCCUUUAUGUCUGGGGCCACACACGUGCUACAAUGGCCGGUACAAACCGUCGCGAUCUCGCGAGAGGGAGCUAAUCGGAGAAAGCCGGUCUCAGUUCGGAUUGUAGGCUCAAGGGGGCCUGCAUGAAGUUGGAAUCGCUAGUAAUCGCGGAUCAGCACGCCGCGGUGAAUACGUUCCCGGCCCAGCUACUCACCGCCCGUCACAUCACGAAAGCCGGCUGUACAGGGGGCCUCAGGCUAACCCGCAAGGGGGGCAAGCGCCUAAGG
rnacentral:rRNA from 1 species